CAGCUCGUGUCGUGAGAUGUUGGGUUAAGUCCGCAACGAGCGCAACCCUUGUCACUAGUUGCCAUCAUUUAGUUGGGCACUCUAGUGAGACUGCCGGUGACAAACCGGAGGAAGGUGGGGAUGACGUCAAGUCCUCAUGGCCCUUAUGGUAGGGCUUCACACGUCAUACAAUGGUCGGUACAGAGGGUUGCCAAGCCGCGAGGUGGAGCCAAUCCCUUAAAGCCGAUCGUAGUCCGGAUCGUAGUCUGCAACUCGACUACGUGAAGUCGGAAUCGCUAGUAAUCGCAGAUCAGCAUGCUGCGGUGAAUACGUUCCCGGGUCUU
rnacentral:rRNA from 1 species